UACGUAGGGUGCAAGCGUUGUCCGGAAUUAUUGGGCGUAAAGAGCUCGUAGGCGGUCUGUCGCGUCGGCUGUGAAAACCCGGGGCUCAACCCCGGGCCUGCAGUCGAUACGGGCAGACUAGAGUGCGGUAGGGGAGACUGGAAUUCCUGGUGUAGCGGUGAAAUGCGCAGAUAUCAGGAGGAACACCGGUGGCGAAGGCGGGUCUCUGGGGCCGAUACUGACGCUGAGGAGCGAAAGCGUGGGGAGCGAACAGG
rnacentral:rRNA from 1 species